UACGGAGGGUGCAAACGUUGCUCGGAAUCAUUGGGCGUAAAGCGCACGUAGGUGGCUUGUUAAGUCGGGUGUGAAAUCCCUGGGCUCAACCCAGGAAGUGCACUCGAAACUGGCGAGCUUGAGUACUGAAGAGGGUCGCGGAAUUCCCGGUGUAGAGGUGAAAUUCGUAGAUAUCGGGAGGAACACCAGUGGCGAAGGCGGCGACCUGGGCAGAUACGUGACACUGAG
rnacentral:rRNA from 1 species